AGCGAACGCUGGCGGCAGGCCUAACACAUGCAAGUCGAACGGAUCCUUCGGGAUUAGUGGCGGACGGGUGAGUAACACGUGGGAACGUGCCCUUUGGUUCGGAACAACUCAGGGAAACUUGAGCUAAUACCGGAUGUGCCCUUUGGGGGAAAGAUUUAUCGCCAUUGGAGCGGCCCGCGUCUGAUUAGCUAGUUGGUGAGGUAAAGGCUCACCAAGGCGACGAUCAGUAGCUGGUCUGAGAGGAUGAUCAGCCACAUUGGGACUGAGACACGGCCCAAACUCCUACGGGAGGCAGCAGUGGGGAAUCUUGCGCAAUGGGCGAAAGCCUGACGCAGCCAUGCCGCGUGAAUGAUGAAGGUCUUAGGAUUGUAAAAUUCUUUCACCGGGGACGAUAAUGACGGUAC
rnacentral:rRNA from 1 species